CUUGAAUGGAAAUAGUUCUUUAACAUUUUUCAAUAAUAAAAAUGCAUGUUUGUAUAACAAAGAACAGAAUGGUGUUAACAAGAAAGUAACAGAAUCCAUUCCUACUGUUUCCUUUCCUGACACUCCCUCCCUCAUCUUCAUUUCCAGGUAUUUUCAGGACUGCAGAGAUGAACAUUAGUGAGCCCAAAUGGAAGUGGUGAAGGGAGCAGAGAAGAGGAUGGGCCCGUUUCCCAGAGAAGCAGAAAUGACCAGUAGCUCAGGAGAAGAUGCUGUUUCUUCUGUGACGUGGCUUCACGUGACCAGGAGCUGACAUGCUGGUGUGUUGG
rnacentral:lncRNA from 1 species